CAUCUCUCUCAAUCCCGCAGGUCUCGUACGACGCUCCUCUCUCCCUCGAUCCCUUCUUUCCCCAUCGCGCCACCAGGCGCACACACCCACCCACAACCCACCAUCGAUCCCGCAGCCCUUCUGCCCUCCUCUCGCUGACCACCACCAUCGCCUCCCCGAAGGCCACCGGCGCCGCAGCUCUGCCACCUCCUCCCUCACCGGCUUCAAGCCCCUUCUCCACCUCUGAUGCGCCGCUUCCCUCGAUCAUAUUCGUGCAUCUGAGGACGACGGCGGAAGAAGCGUGUGCCCAGAUGAAGAUCGUCUGGCUGUGCAGGCGGGCAGACGACGCAACUGAGGUGACGGUGACAAUGGGACUCAUGAGGAGCAGCGGCGGCGUGGAUCUCAUCCUGCAGGGGCGGGGGUGGGGUGAUGUGGGCGCCAAGGAGGCUGGGCAGGAGCCUCCUGCAGUGGAGGACGAGGAUGGAGUAUGAGAGGGAGCCUCCUUCAGUGUACGUAUGGCGAUGAAGGGGAGCAGUGCUCGUCCUCAGUGGACCCAGAUGACCCUUGCUGGCGGGUGAGAUUCCUCUUGAGACCUACGGUGACGGCAAACAGCGGCAGCGGAUUUGAAGGUGACGGUAGGAGAUCCGUGACAGAACAUGUGCAAGCUCAUGGUUUUAUGCCAAUUCAUCCUUCAAGACAAGUAUUAGGAGUGUGGUAGCACAACCUAGGCGUGUAGGCGUGUAGCUGCAUACAUGUGACGGGAAAUAGGGAGACAGCUUCGGGUUGGAUAUGCUAUUAUUCCUUUGUAAGUUUACUGAUGCAAUUUCUUUUUGAAAGAUCCCUAAAGUCAUUUACCCUUUUGCCACUGAGAAUUGUUUACUAUUGUGAAUUGUACAAGUGGUCUAAAUUGUCAAUUAAUGACAUAGACCUAGAUACCAUAAAACACCGUUGAUAAAUCGACUGAAAUAUGAACAUUCUUGGCCCAAAGUUACAGCAUUGCACCAAUUAAUUGUUAACCUCUUGGUUUUAAUGACAAUUGUUCUACUAGGAGUUUUCUUCUGCUAGCAUUCCAUCAACAAUGUCAGUUGUAAUUAUAUAUAAAAAUAAAACCAAGACAAUCAAUGUGAUUAUUCUGCACAAUGUGUCCAAAUCACUCUUUUUUCCAUAACAUUAACAAUUGUCCUUUGACUGUCUAUGUGAACGUUCUCUAAAAUUUCAUUCCAAGUUACGUCUGGUCUUCUUUGGGUAAUUUAUAUAGCAGAGUCUACAAGAAUUGGAUGCAGAUCCACUAUCCCCCCAUCCCCACUGUAUUUACUGCAAUGCAUAUUUACCUGGAGCUCGCAUCUUAGCUGUAUGUCAAGUGCCAAGUCAGUUUUCACUAAAUACAAAUUUUAAUAUAUACUGGUUGUAUAUUUAUGGAUUAUAGUUGAAAUUCUCAAAUGAAUAAAUAUUUUUGUAGUUGUAGUCCUAUAUACAACUACCUAAAACUGAGGUUGGCACAUCUUCAUUAGAAGCUAUGCUCACUAGCUUGAUUUCUCCUAGAGAUGUAGAAUGUUUAUUCCCGCAAUGUUAUUUUGCAAUUUCCUUUUUUGAUGUAGCUGCUUAUCUAUCAAGUUUAUUUAGCAAAUUGUCUAUGAAAGCAUGCAGUUCAAAUAAUCGGGUUGUGUUACUCCUACUAAGUAUCCUAUAAAUGAUCUGAAUGAACACAAGUGAUGGCGUCCGUCGGACACGGUGCCCAAGGCGUAGACUGAACCCUUCUAAGGAGGCAUGUGGGGAUGCGUGCAAGACAUGCCCUCAUUCUAUGAAACAAAGUCAAAUGCAAAUGGGAGUAUGAGAGAUGGUGUAUGGACCAAGUGAUGGGAGCAUCUCCGGGCGGCGGCCCUCACUUCAAGCUCGAUGAACUUAGCUUAAACAUGCUCUUGCACUGGCAUGGUCGUGAUAGGUUUGUCAUCUGGGCGAUUGCCCGUGUUCGUGAGGUUGCUGUGAUUUUUCACUAUAGGAAUUGAUAGCUUGACAGGUUAUUUGGCUUAGCCUAUGUUGUGUUGUUGCUUGUUUGUCUGAUCCCUAUCAUGCUGAUGUUUCAUACCAUGAUAGAUGUUUAUGGUUGUAAUAUUAUACCAUUGAUAGCUUCAGAAAAGGUGGUUGCUGAUUGAGAAAGUUGAGAGACAACUUACGAACACUAUAAUAGUUAGGAAUUUAUUGUUGGGACAAAAUUAUGUCGUUGUUUAUACACACGCAUCAACUCUUCUUGUAGCUCACUACUUAUUCUAUGAUGAGAAUAACAACUAUAGAUAGAGUCAUUCAUCUUGCUUAUUUUCUAGAUGAAUAACUUCAUUAUGGGUCGUGUCAUCCGAGGCAAGUUGAUACUACCUACUGUAUGCAAAUUCCAGAUGCAUUAGGAGGGGAGUGACGAAGCCGGAGGGGCCGAGGUGCCCUCAUCAUGGUUUCUUGAUGGUGCAUCAUAGACCAGGCGAAGAAUCUCCUGGUGGAGCUUGGCAGAACCGAGGCACUUGGAGGAGAAGACACCAUGGAACCCUCGCCCGCUGCUGGUGGGCUUUGGUGAGGACGAGCGCUGGGAAAGGUUGUGCAUGACGCCCAGAUGUUACGCCAAGGCCUUCCGCGCCCGCACCCGAGGUGGGUGCUUCACUAACAAGCUGCUACAAGUGUACAAGGCCUUCCGCGUUCAAGCUGCGAAGGCAAGAAGAUUUUGUUAUUAAUAGGGACAAAUAGGUGGCUAGCACAUCCUUUUUUGUUGGCUGAAGCGUUGGAGUGCUAAAGUUACAGAUAAAAAUCUAUCUUUGGUGCAUUUGUUUUCAGAUUAUUGCUGUUGGAGAUGAGCUACAGAGAGGGAGACACACACCCUUCUCUGUACAAAAUCCAUCUUUGGCACACUUGGGGAAAUUUUGUCCAAGGGCAAUUCAUAGAUUGGAAUUAAGAUUUGGGGCUAUUUUGUUUGACUUGCUUUGUACGGAUGUUGCUAUGCUUUGUGUAUUGUUGUCAUUAUUGUAUAGUGAGAAGAUAUAGUGAGACAGA